rnacentral:sRNA from 1 species
UUUUUAUUUACUUUUGGAAUUUAUAUAAAAUAUUAUUUACUAUAAUAAUAAUAAACAGUGUACAAAAUAUUUAAAUUAAAAAAAAACGUUUAAUAAAAUAUUUAAUAAAAAUUACCCAUAUAAUUUAUUUUAUCCUCGAUUUUAAUAAAUAUAACAAUUAGUUUUGAAAAUUUGCGCCGUUUACUGCUUAUAACGGAUGAAACCGGAUAAAAAUACACCCUGUUUUUUUGAUUUAAUAUAAAUUUAAUUUCGUUUUUUUUACCCACCCUUUCCGGGGGUUUUCGGCCUUUAAAGCCAGCAAUUUAAAUAUAAAUAACCUUUUAAUUUGCAAUUAAAGCAAAUUAAAUUUUUAAGCGCCCCGUUAUAUUAUUUUUUAAUCGUAAUUUUUUUAAUUAUACAGUUUUUUUGGUUAGAUUUCAAAUUUUAUUAACCAAGUAGUUGAUAUUGUAACCGUUCGAAGUGUUAAAAAAGUAAUAACGUUGGUAAUAAUAUUAGUUUAAAUAGUAAAAGGGGUUUUUAAAAUUGUGAACUAUUUUAAAAUAAUAAGUUAAUAUAUUUUAGGUUUAAAAUUCGAUUGGCUAUUUUUCGACUGUUUUUGGUUAUUAAAUAAAUUAGUUCAAUAUAAGUUUAUAACGGUAUAACCUGGUUUAAAUAAUCGAAUAUAAAAUUUUUAAAAUAUUCUAAUUAACAUUAUAACAAUUAAAUUUAUAAUAUUA